rnacentral:lncRNA from 1 species
AAAGACUAUUCACUAGAAACACACGAUUAGCUAUUUGUUCAGAAAAUCUAAAGACAUUGACCUAAUUGGCAAACGAAUACAAGAAAAGCUUAAAAUUCAAUCCAUAUUCAUCGUAACAAUAAUGUCCAUGAGUUUAUACUUUCAAGGAGCUACAUCCAUGUUUCUACUUUUAAGAAGCUACGUCAAUCGUCUUCGGCAGUUCAAGUAAUUUUUAUGUGUUGGUUUACCG